CUGUCUGUCUGCGUGAUGUCAGAUCCCCCACAGGAAACCGCCGCAGUGACCCGGCCGACCACCCGCGCGCGGAUAACGGUGUGAGUGACUCAGGGGGGGCGGAGCCUACGCCCCAUGCGCGUGAGAACAAAGAGCUGGCGGAGGAAGCGUCCGCGGUCGCGGCGAGCUCUAAACGCCGCACGAAACGACUCCAGCUGCGUUAUAACGGGUCACUACGCCGCGGCAUAAAGACGCACUCUGUUACCAAGUUACAAACCAGACAGUAAUGUUCAAAAAAAACCCUCCUGAGGGAAAAGCAAGCCAUUUGUAGACAUGGAUAUUCACCUCAACUGCACUUCUGAUUGGCAGCCAUAUAAACAGACACACUGCUGAUUGGUUAAACUGUAAAAUUGCCAUAUCGCUUAUGGCUGCAUGUUAACUUUUUGUUGCUUUUGGAAAAUCUCAACUGAAUAAAAUGGGCGUAAGAUCAAAGUAGAAAGAAAGACCCCAUGUAAUGUAAACGAAGGCCACUGGGUACAAGAGUAUACAAGAUGUACUGCCGAUACCACCUCUACAACCAUGAACCCUGCCCUCAGUUUGGGGUUUUAAUUUGGCUCUCAUUCCCUUGUCCUGUCUGGUGAGCACGCUGCCCAGGCGAAAGUCAGGUCCUGGCAAAAACCAGUGUGUAGUUUUAGAGGAUAAACACAACUUUCAAGGUCAUGGCUUUGUCAACAGGAAGAAAAGAUGUCAUACGUGACUACAGUCCGAGCCAGUUUGGAAACAUCCGUCUGCAAAGGCUGCAAGCGAGAGCUCUUCGAAGGCGUAAUCACCGAUGCGAUGUUGUUCAAGGUCAGCGCUGGACGUUGCUACAAAUGUGACGCCUGGACGACACUCCGGUUCGCCAAGAACCUCAGCGUCAAGAUUACAAACGCCAAGAUCCAAGCGUCUGGAAUAACUGGCAGCAAAUUUGGAACGGGUGGGUUUGAUUCUGCUGUCGACUGGCACAGUGGACAAAAACAAAGAAAAGGCAGUUGAGAUCAGACUUAUGGUAAACAGACACUCCUACCUGGUGCAUUUAUUAACCACAAAGCACCGUUAAGCAGGGACAGAACUUUGUGGUUACACCAGCGACACUCACUCUCGCUCCCCAAAGAGCCACAGAGGGGCUCUUUUUAUUUUUUGCCUAAAAAUCAGAAACCAAAUCAGACCAAAGAAACCAGAUGAGCUGAGUAAUCAAUGGUUUAAAUGGAUCAAUUAAGUGCUGGGCAGCAAUGAACACCUGCAUUCCCUGCAGUUAUCUGGGGCCUGGACUGAACACCACUGCUCUGUGCUCCAGGGGGUACAACAGCCGAUCCGUUUCAGGAUUUUGUGCCAACUUCUGCUCUUAAUUAUUUAAUUAGCUUGAUCAUUUCUUGAUCUGACUUGUGUAUAAGCACCAGCUGCAGCCACAGACUGCAAGUGCGUCCUAAAGAUUUUACUGUGCUCAAGUACAGGAGUGAACCAGCAUAGUUUAUGGAGCUCUCCGAAAACUAAAGUGAAGGUAACUGGUUGGAACAAAAACCAGCACGCAGACCAACUCUCUAGGACCAGAGUUCUGCACCUCUGAGACACUCAAAUCAAAUCUUGACCUUAAGGCACUAGUUUUCAUUCUCCCCUUUAAUCAGGGACAGCAGAGGAAGAGUGCUGGACUGACUUCAACAGACGGGUCAUCCCGAUCGUUUUAGGGGGGGCGGCUGUGGGGAUCUGCCUAAUUGCCGUCCUCACCUACCUGAUUAUCCGAGACAACAGUGCGCAAGGCUACGAGAGA